UUGGAACUUUUUUUGUAGAAA
rnacentral:piRNA from 1 species